rnacentral:tRNA from 1 species
GGGUGUAGCUCAGUAGUAGAGCAGAAACUUAGCGUGUUCAAGGUCCUAGGUUCAAACCUUAGCACCC